rnacentral:tRNA from 1 species
UCCGUGGUGGCUCAGAUGGUAAAGCAUCUGCUACAAUGCAGGAGACCUGGGUUCGAUCCCUGGCUUGGGAA